rnacentral:tRNA from 1 species
AAGAGGUGUAUGAACAUCUAGACCUGCUAACUCGAACAACUGAAGAUAGAAUCCUCAGACCUCUU